CCAAACCUUCCUUCCUCGCGAUAUCUCUUCCCAAUGUGCCUAGAAUCGGAAACGAAGCGGUUCCGAUCAAAAAUUAGGGUUUGUGAGGUUUACUCAAAAUAAGUCUAGGAAGAAUAAGAAGAAUCAGGAAGCAGAAGGACGGCCGGAGGUCAUAAACAUCAAACGCUCCUCCGAUUUGCCUCCGUAACAGAAGAAAACCGCGUAACAGAGAGAGAGGAGAAACAAAUCAAUUUUUUUUGCUUUAAUAUUUUACCCUUCAAAAUGCCACGUCACCGCUUCUUAGAAGGGUUUGGGCCUCUCAC